rnacentral:tRNA from 1 species
UCCCAGCUGGCUCAGUCAGUAGAGCAUGUGACUCCUAAUCUCAGGAUCGUGAGUUCAAGCUCCACUUUGGGCG